UGGUAGCUCAGAAAAUUAUGAUUUUUUUUGCAAUAGCUUAGUAAUAUUUCUAAGGACCGCGGGGCAGAGUUUUAUAAUUUUUAGAGCUUAUUUGAGCAGUUUUUGCAAAAAUGAUCAAUAAUAAGGACUAAAUUGAAAUUUUGCGUAUUGUGAUGGAUGACUGAUUUGAUGGGCCCAGGAGAGACUGUGUGAUGUGAUUGAGUUGU
rnacentral:misc_RNA from 1 species